UUGUCAGACUAUUUUAUUUGAAUUCUGACAUCUAAAAUCAGGUGUGGAACACAGAAAUUGGUCCCCAGAGUUGUCCGUGACCUAACCCUUGAAAUCUGGAAAAUUAGCUUCCAUGUCAUGAGGACAACCAGCCCCGUUGGAGAGAAUCAUGUGGUGAGGAACUGAGGCCUUCUACCAAUAGCCCUGUCAAGGAAUCACCUUAGAAAUGGAUCUUCAGCCCCAGGGGGUCCUUGAGAUGACCAAGACCCUGGUCUAGGCCUUGACUGCAGCCUCAUAAAGGACCCUGAGCCAGAAAUAUUCAGGUUGCAAGGUUGCAAAGCCAGCAGACUGCCUUAUUUAUGUACCUUCCUUUGUACUUAGCUAAGUACUUUGAAGCUAUUUUGAGGAUUGG